rnacentral:rRNA from 1 species
GACGAACGCUGGCGGCGUGCUUAACACAUGCAAGUCGAACGGAAAGGCCCUGCUUUUGUGGGGUGCUCGAGUGGCGAACGGGUGAGUAACACGUGAGUAACCUGCCCUUGACUUUGGGAUAACUUCAGGAAACUGGGGCUAAUACCGGAUAGGAGCUCCUGCUGCAUGGUGGGGGUUGGAAAGUUUCGGCGGUUGGGGAUGGACUCGCGGCUUAUCAGCUUGUUGGUGGGGUAGUGGCUUACCAAGGCUUUGACGGGUAGCCGGCCUGAGAGGGUGACCGGCACAAUUGGGACUGGGGUAAGGGCCAGACUUCUUAGGGAGGGAGGAGGGGGGGAUAUUGCACCAUGGGCGGAAGCCUGAUGCAGCAACGCCGCGUGCGGGAUGACGGCCUUCGGGUUGUAAACCGCUUUCGCCUGUGACGAGGCGUGAGUGACGGUAAUGGGUAAAGAAGCACCGGCUAACUACGUG